UUAAGUUCAGCGGGUAAUCCUGCCUGAUCUGAGGUCUAAAAGGUUGACUGGGGGUGUUCGAAGCUAUCACUUUUACAACGCUCGUCCUCAAUGAAUAGUCUAUUACAUUGAGUCAAUCCGAGGUUCGAAUUAGAUAUGCUAAUACUUUACGGGGGAGCAGAAUACACUGCAGCCCCCAGAAUCCAAGCAUUCAUUGUUCA
rnacentral:misc_RNA from 1 species